rnacentral:rRNA from 1 species
UACGGAGGGUGCGAGCGUUGUCCGGAAUCACUGGGCGUAAAGGGCGCGUAGGCGGCCUGAUAAGUAGGGGGUGAAAUCCUGCGGCUUAACCGCAGGGCUGCCUUCUAAACUGUCAGGCUCGAACACAGUAGAGGCAGGUGGAAUUCCCGGUGUAGCGGUGGAAUGCGUAGAGAUCGGGAAGAACAUCAGUGGCGAAGGCGGCCUGCUGGGCUGUUGCUGACGCUGAGGCGCGACAGCGUGGGGAGCAAACAGG